UACGGAGGGGGCUAGCGUUGUUCGGAAUUACUGGGCGUAAAGCGCACGUAGGCGGCUUUGUAAGUUAGAGGUGAAAGCCCAGGGCUUAACCCUGGAAUUGCCUUUAAGACUGCAUCGCUAGAAUCGUGGAGAGGUGAGUGGAAUUCCGAGUGUAGAGGUGAAAUUCGUAGAUAUUCGGAAGAACACCAGUGGCGAAGGCGACUCGCUGGACAAGUAUUGACGCUGAGGUGCGAAAGCGUGGGGAGCAAACAGG
rnacentral:rRNA from 1 species